UGGGGAAUAUUGCACAAUGGGGGAAACCCUGAUGCAGCGACGCCGCGUGAGCGAAGAAGGUUUUCGAAUCGUAAAGCUCUGUCCUAUGAGAAGAUAAUGACGGUAUCAUAGGAGGAAGCACCGGCUAACUACGUGCCAGCAGCCGCGGUAAUACGUAGGGUGCGAGCGUUGUCCGGAAUUACUGGGCGUAAAGAGCUCGUAGGCGGUUUGUCACGUCGUCUGUGAAAUCCUAGGGCUUAACCCUGGACGUGCAGGCGAUACGGGCUGACUUGAGUACUACAGGGGAGACUGGAAUUUCUGGUGUAGCGGUGGAAUGCACAGAUAUCAGGAAGAACACCGAUGGCGAAGGCAGGUCUCUGGGUAGUAACUGACGCUGAGGAGCGAAAGCAUGGGUAGCGAACAGG
rnacentral:rRNA from 1 species